GAUGAACGCUGGCGGCGUGCCUAAUACAUGCAAGUCGAGCGAACAGACGAGGAGCUUGCUCCUCUGACGUUAGCGGCGGACGGGUGAGUAACACGUGGAUAACCUACCUAUAAGACUGGGAUAACUUCGGGAAACCGGAGCUAAUACCGGAUAAUAUAUUGAACCGCAUGGUUCAAUAGUGAAAGACGGUUUUGCUGUCACUUAUAGAUGGAUCCGCGCCGCAUUAGCUAGUUGGUAAGGUAACGGCUUACCAAGGCAACGAUGCGUAGCCGACCUGAGAGGGGGAUCGGCCACACGGGAACUGAGACACGGUCCAGACUCCUACGGGAGGCAGCAGUAGGGAAUCUUCCGCAAUGGGCGAAAGCCUGACGGAGCAACGCCGCGUGAGUGAUGAAGGUCUUCGGAUCGUAAAACUCUGUUAUUAGGGAAGAACAAAUGUGUAAGUAACUAUGCACGUCUUGACGGUACCUAAUCAGAAAGCCACGGCUAACUACGUG
rnacentral:rRNA from 1 species